GGGGAGGUUACCCGGCCAGUUCGACGAAGCAAGAAGCCGAAGCGCAAGCAGUGGUUUUCGGCUGGAGUGGCGGACGGGUGAGUAACGCGUGGAUAACCUGCCUUUUCACAGGGGGAUAACAGCCGGAAACGGCUGCUAAUACCGCAUGAGCCUCUUUUAUCGCAUGAGGAGAGAGGGAAAGAGAAAUCGGUGAGAGAUGGAUCCGCGUCCGAUUAGCUAGUUGGAGGGGUAACAGCCCACCAAGGCGACGAUCGGUAGCCGACCUGAGAGGGUGGACGGCCACAUUGGGACUGAGACACGGCCCAAACUCCUACGGGAGGCAGCAGUGGGGAAUAUUGCACAAUGGGGGAAACCCUGAUGCAGCAACGCCGCGUGAGUGAGGAAGUAUUUCGGUAUGUAAAGCUCUAUCAGCAGGGAAUAGAAAAGAAGGUACCUGAAAAAGAAGCCCCGGCUAACUACGUGCCAGCAGCCGCGGUAAUACGUAGGGGGCAAGCGUUAUCCGGAUUUACUGGGUGUAAAGGGAGCGUAGACGGCAGCACAAGUCUGGAGUGAAAUCCCGGGGCUUAACCCCGGAACUGCUUUGGAAACUGUGCGGCUGGAGUGCAGGAGGGGUAAGCGGAAUUCCUAGUGUAGCGGUGAAAUGCGUAGAUAUUAGGAGGAACACCGGUGGCGAAGGCGGCUUACUGGACUGUAACUGACGUUGAGGCUCGAAAGCGUGGGGAGCAAACAGGAUUAGAUACCCUGGUAGUCCACGCCGUANACGAUGAUUACUAGGUGUCGGGGAACCAAGGUCCUCCGGUGCCGGCGCAAACGCAUUAAGUAAUCCACCUGGGGGAGUACGUUCGCAAGA
rnacentral:rRNA from 1 species